AGUCCACAUAAAUUUCUCGGUGGCCCCGGAAGCCCUGGAAUGCUUCUCAUGUCCGAUAGCCUUUACCGUCUGAAAGACUCUCCACCUUCGACGAGUGGCGGCGGAACCGUCGUCUACGUCGCCUAUAACGAGAAAGUAAGAAAUAAAUAAAUCACUUCAACCUAAUUAAACUUUUGGAGAGUACCAAUUGACUUGAUUCUCUAAAUAGGAUACACUCUACUGUGAGGAUUUGGAAGAGAGAGAAGACGCCGGCACGCCGGCGAUAGUGCAGAAGAUCCGGACGGCGUUGGCGUUCCGUGUGAAGGAGUAUAUCGGCCAUGAUCUGAUACGUGAUCGUGAAGCGUACCUAUCGAAGAAAAUUAUGGAGAAGCUCUCUAGCAAUGAUAAAAUAUUUGUUCUUGGCAAUUUGACGGAUGAAAGGCAACCCAUAGUCUCUUUUCUGAUCUACCCGGAAGGUGCUCGCCGGGGAAAACAUCUGCAUUGCCGCUUUGUUACAAUCCUUCUCAAUGACCUCUUUGGCAUUCAGGCACGCGGCGGAUGUGCCUGUGCUGGGCCAUACGCACAUGCGCUUCUCGGAAUCAGCUCGGAUCGAUCUCAACAAAUCCGAUACUUGAUCGAGCAGGUAAAAUUGGGAAAUCUCAAUCGUUUAUCUCACGGUAAUCUAAGGUUGUAAUUGAUGGAGAUUUACCGGCGUAAACAAUCAUAUGCAGGGGUACGAGGGAGUGAAGCCGGGAUUUACUCGUGUGAGCAUCGGGUAUUGCUCAUCGGAGGAGGAAACUGAUUUCGUCUUAGACGCGGUGGACUUCGUUGCAAGAUACGGAGAACGUUUCCUUUCUCUCUACAGAUUCGACUGGAAGACCGGCGACUGGCAUUACACCGACGAUCAUUGCAAUAAAACAAUUGGAAUUACUGCCCGCCGGAAUCAAUCCGGUAAUGGAUCCGAUGAGAAAUACGACGAGUACAUGAGUCUUGCUAUGAGUCUUUUAGAUAUACUUCCUGUCGGUCAUGCAAUGACACCUGUACCUGCCGACAUCGGACCGGAGACUCUGACUUUCAUCACGUGACCGUACGUCGAUCUACGAGCUUGGUUUGUUCACUGUCCGAUUGAUACGUAUAUUUGAAUUUUUACCACGUGCCUGAAUCCUAAGUGCCUCUCGGUUUAUUAAUUUAAAUGAUUUUUUUUGUUAUUGGUGACUGGUGUAACUUGUAACUUUACCAAUAUUGACAUGCUAAAUAAAAAUAAAUCAUACAAAUCUCAAUUUCUUUCCACUUAAUUCAGUAUAAAUAUAUACUCAAAAAAAAUAAUACACCACAUGGUAGUGAGCUCUGUUGAAUCUGACUCCGACGUCCGAAGAUUAUAAGUAAUACAAUUCAUAAUAUAAACUACGACAACUCACACACUUCUUAAAAAAAUGAUACACCACGUGGUAGUGAGCUUUGCUGAACCUGACUCUGUAUAGAAGCACGUCCAAAUAUUAUAAGUAAUACAACUUAUAAUAUAAACAAAGACAAUUCACACACUCUCCCUCUCAUCUCGAUUUCAAAAACCCUUCAAAGAGGUUGGGGUAUAUUUCCACUCACCAUGUGCUCGUGCCUAUAAAGAAUGGUAUGUGAUGAUAAAAGAGAGAAGAAAAUAACGGUAGAAGAAGAAGAAGAAUGAAGAAAGGAAGAAGAUCGACCAAGAAAUAUGUUGGUACCAAGGCCCGUCCAGACGGACCAUGGGUCGAACAUGACCGCACGGCCCAGAAGGCCCAGGGAAGCAUACUAUAAGUACCUCCCUUGGAGCAACAGGGAGAGGGGUCGAUUAUUAGUGAGAGCAAUACUAGAAAGUUGUGUGUGAGCACUUUAACGCGAGCCCACACACCAUCAUUGGUGAACUUGACGUGAAUCAAACACGCAACCGGAGUAGAAGAGAAGAUGGUCGGAAGGAGUGAGUACCAUGUAGGAGAGAGCUCGAGGCACCGUGGAGAGAGGAAACCCCACAACCAGGAGAUCACCCCGGUCACCCGGCGGCCGCUGAAGGAUUUCGAAGAGGACUCGGACAGAACUGAGUCGUACCUCUCGUAUAGGAGGAAGCCUGCGGCCAGGACACUCGAGGCCCGGGAGUAGGCCGAAGCUAAUGAGGAGGCCCGGCGUAAGGAGGAAAGGAAGCGCAGGCGGGGGAGACGGAGCAGGUCCCCGACCCCACCGAGAGAAGGGAACGUCACCGGAAGAAGCAUUCCGAGAACGCGAAGCUCUCAGAGUUGGUCUCCGCCCUACAGGAGCAACUCCCACUACCAGAUUACUGACUUUUAGCGACGACCAGAAACCGUCUCUAAUCAUUAAAAACCGUCGCGAAUUGAUGGAAGAUGCUACUCUAUAUAAAGAGGUAGGUAGGCAUGCAGACAUAUUAUAAUCCUGGAAGAGGUCAACAUCAGACCUUUCAUCAGCAAAAUAAUAAUCCUACAACUCAAACUCAGAUUGUGAUUGCCCAAAGCCAUUACCCAAGACUGAUAAGCCUCUAAUUUUGACAGCCCCACAUUCCACCUUCUCUUAGCUUGAUACUGCAUUUUUCUGCUAAAUCUGUGAUAAAUUAAUGGAUAUUCUAAUGCUUGUCUAAUCUCUGUAAAUUAUAAUGUAAAUUGCUUGCCCAAAAUCCAAAUAAAAUCCAAGUAGGAUCGAUAAUAAACAAAAGAACAGAGAGGAAACUGGAAAAAGAGAUGUGGGUAAGUAACAGGAUGUGAGUGAAGAAAAUAACAGUGGUUGUCAUAGACUCACAAACUCACCGGAGGAUGUCAUUUUGAAAAUAACAGUAAAUUCUUAUCUCAUUUUGAAACUAAAUUCUAUAAAUCAAAGAACAUAAAAAUAAACCAGAGGAUGUCAUAGAACUCACCGGAGGAGGUUUUUUAAUUCACCAAGUCCUCACUGCCCUCACUGCGGAUGAAGAAAUCGAUCGCUGUCCUCACUGCGCCCGCUGGAAGAUGAAGAACUCGUGCUCGCCGGAAGAUGAAGAAGUCGUGGUCGCCGAUGUCGGAAUGGAAUGCAAGAAAUCGGAACGAUUGGGUUUGGGAGAGAUUGAAAAUAGGGAAGUUUAGGGAUUUAGGGAUUUUAGGAAUUUUAGUUGGGGUUUAGAAAUUUAUUUAGGGAUUUAGGAAUUUUAGG
rnacentral:lncRNA from 1 species